UGUAACCAUCUGGUAUGCCUCUAUCCCC
rnacentral:sRNA from 1 species